CCGGGUGGCCGGUUCUCGCCCGAGGUUGAAAACGGUCGAACGCGGCCAUUUGCCGUGUGGUGUGGCGUGAGGGGUUGGGCCCUGUGCAACCAGAGCCUGUGAACCCCGUCAGAUCCGGAAGGAAGCAGCGGUAAGCGGGAAUCCCGGUGUGCCGCAGGAUCACCCGGCCCCUCACUCCACCCCGCGCGGCGGCUCCCGG
rnacentral:SRP_RNA from 1 species